rnacentral:rRNA from 1 species
UACGGAGGGGGCAAGCGUUGUUCGGAUUUACUGGGCGUAAAGCGUGUCUAGGUGGAUGUGUAAGUCAGGUGUGAAAGCCCCCGGCUCAACUGGGGAGGGUCACUUGAUACUGCAUGUCUUGAGUUUCGGAGGAGUGGGCGGAAUUCCCAGUGUAGAGGUGAAAUUCGUAGAUAUUGGGAGGAACACCAGAGGCGAAAGCGGCUCACUAGCCGAACACUGACACUCAAGCGCGAAAGCGUGGGUAGCAAACAGG